UACCUGAAUAAAUAUGAGAGGUAAGACAUAAAAUUCAAUAUAAAAUGUUUCUGGAAAUUUUAUCUAAAAUGGUUCUGACCUGACAGUGACGAGCCAGCCCUUCACGUUAGAGCCCAGUUUCUCCACCCUUGGUAGCCAAUGUGUGUCCCCACAGACACUGCCUAGAUCAGGCAACUGAACCUAGGUUUCCCCUGGGCAGUGGUCAGGGCUGAAGGGACACUUACUUUUUUUUUUUUUUGAGACAGAGUUUUGCUCAUUUCCCAGAUUGGAGUGCAGUGGCGCGAUCUCGGCUCACUGCAACCUCGGCUCACUGCAACCUCCAUGUCCUGGGUUCGAGCAGUUCUCCUGCCUCAGCCUCCCAAAUAGCUGGGAUUCUAGGCAUGCACCACCAUGCCCGGCUAAUUUUUGUAUUUUUAGUAGAGAUGGGUUUUCACCAUGUUGGCCAGGCUGGUCUCGAACUCCUGACCUCAGGUGAUCCGCCCGCCUCAGCCUCCCAAAGUGCUGGGAUUACAGGCAUGAACCACUGCACCCGGCCUACAUAGCAUUUAUAUUGUAUUAUAAGUAAUCUAGAGAAAAUUUUUUGUUUUCAGACAGGGUCUUGCUCUGUUGCCCAUGCUGGAACGCAGUGGCAUGAUGACGGCUCACUGCAGCCUCGACCUCCUAGGUUCCAUUGAUCCUCCUGCCUAAGCUUCCUAAGUAGCUGGGACUACCUGUGCUCAGCUAAUUUUUUAUUUUAUUUUAUUUUAUUUUAUUUUUGUUGUUGUUGUUGUUGUUGUUGUAUAGCUGGGGGUCUAAUCUUGGUCUCAGGCUGGGCUCAAACGAUCCGCCCGCCUCAGCCUCCCAAAGUGCUGGGCUCCCAAAGCACCCAGCCUACAGAUGAUUUAAAGCAUAGCUUAUAUGCAAAUGUUAAACUAUCUUAUAUAAGCAACUUGAGCACUUGUGGAUUUUGGUGUCCUCUGAGUCCUGGAACCAAUCUACCAUGGAUACUGAGGGACAACUGUGUGUUGUGUAGAGAGAGGAAAAAAUAAAUGAAAACACAGUGACCAAUGUUGUCACUGCAGUGUUUUUCCUGUCUGUAUCUCCAGAACCUAGAACACAGCAUGUGUUCAGAAAACAUUGAAUGAAUUAAUAUGGCCAAUGGGCAAUACCAUAGUGAUUCUCUUAUAUAAUUAAUACUUAAGGCCAGGCACGGUGGCUCACGCCUGUAAUCCCCACACUUUGGGAGGCCGAGACAGGCAGAUCACUUGAGGCCCAGGAGUUUGAGACCAGCCUGGCCAACAUGGCAAAACCCCAUCUCUUCUAAAGAUACAAAAAAAAAAAAAAAAAAAAAAAAUUAGCCGGGCAUGGCGGUGCAUGCCUGUAAUUUCAGUUACUCAAGUGGCUGAGGCACAAGAAUUGCUUGAACCUGGGAGGUGGAGGUUGCAGUGAGCCAAGACUGUGCCACUGACUCUAGCCUGGGCAACAUAGCAAGACUGUCUCAAAAUAAAAUCAAUAAAUAAAAGACAUAAAAUGUAUUUGUACUUGUGAUCUUAUAAAAGGAAGAGAAAACAAUUAAAGGAAAAUAUUUUCAUAACAAAUGAGAUAACCCCUCAACUAUUACAUUGAAAUAAAGACACCCAGUUUUAAGCCAGGCACCAUAGCUCACGCCUGUAAUUCCAGCACUUUGGGAGGCCAAGGUGGACGGAUUGCUAGAGGCCAGGAGUUCAAGACCAGCCUGAGCAACGUAGUGAGACCCCUAUCUCUACAAACCAUUUUAAAAAUUAGCCAAGCAUGGUGGUGCAUGCCUGUCGUUACAGCUACUCAGAAGGCUUUGGCAGGAGGAUCACUUGAACCCAUGAGAUCGAGGCUGCAGUCAGCCAUGAUCAUGCCACUGCAUUCCAGCCUGGGCAACAGAGCAAGACCCUGUCUUAAAAAUAAAAUAAAAUUAAAGGCUGGGCGUAGUGGUGUCUCAUGCCUGUAAUCCCAGAACUUUGGGAGGCUGAGGCGGGAGGAUCACUUGAGGUCAGGAGUUUGAGACCAGCCUGGCCAACAUGGUGAAACCCCAUUGCUACUAAAAAAUACCAAAAUUAGCCAGCCUUGGUGGCAGGCGCCUGUAAUCCCAGCUACUUGGGAGGCUGAGGCAGGAGAAUCACAUGAACCUGGGAGGUGGAGGUUGCAGUGAGCCGAGAUUGUGCCACUGUACUCCACCCUGGGUGACAGAGUGAGACUCCAUCUCAAAAAAAAUAAAUAAAUUUUAAAAGACACCCAGUUUCCCACAAUGAACAUGGUAGAUCACCUCUUGCUCUACCCAUAUGAAGCAAUUCGUAGUUCUGUAGCCGAGACUUGAUAUCUCAGGCCCUGCACCUUUCUUUACAGGCCUUUCCAUCUUCCUAGAGUGCCUAACCUGGCCUGUGUGCUUGUAAGCUUCUGCUCAUUCUUCAAUACCCAGCAGAGACUUCCUCCUCCAUGCAGCCUUCCAAGACCCACCUGAGUACAGAUCAGAUACCAUCAGCAUAAUGUCAUCAAUGCAGUGGACCAGUGUGACAUGGGGAACAUAAAGAUGGUCACGAUUUUUGCAGACUCCAUAUGCAAAGUAUUAUAGGCCUUUCCAUCUAUCCGGAGUGACCUACCAGAGACAGGACAGUUUGACCAGCAAGCUUCUGAUCACUCUUCAACACCCAGCAAGAAGUCUUAUCCUCCAUGCAGCCUUCUAAGACCUCUCUAAGCACAGGUAUCAGAUCCUCCUCUGGAUCACUCUGUCUUGUUACUGCAUUUAUCUCACUGGAUUUCAGUGACGUGUGUAGACAACUAAUUUGUGCCUGCCUGAUCUGUGAGCUCUUCAUUCAAAGCAGUUGGCUCCUGAGUACAGGAUAAACCCCUAGAAUUGAAUAAAUUUGGUCUUACCUCA